GACGAACGCUGGCGGCGUGCUUAACACAUGCAAGUCGAACGGAAAGGCCCUGCUUUUGUGGGUUGCUCGAUUGGCGAACGUGUGUGUAACACGUGAGUAUCCUGCCCUUCACUUUGUGAUAACUUCUCGAAACUGGGUCUAAUACCGGAUAUGAUCUCCUGCUGCAUGUUGGGGGUUGGAAAGUUUCGGCGGUUGGGGAUGUACUCGCGGCUUAUCAGCUUGUUUGUGGGGUAGUGGCUUACCAAGGCUUUGACGGGUAGCCGGCCUGUGAGGGUGACCGGGGACAAGGGGACUGAGAGAGGGACCAGAGGGGAACGGGAGGCAGCAGGGGGGAAUAUGGCAGAAUGGGAGGAAGGGUGAGGAAGAAAAGCAGGGAGCGGAAAGACGGGAUGCGGGUUGAAAAAAGAUUUAGAAUGAGACGAAGAGAGAGUGACGGUAAUGGGUAAAGAAGCAACGGCUAACUACGUG
rnacentral:rRNA from 1 species